CCUACGGGAUGCAGCAGUGGGGAAUAUUGCACAAUGGGGGAAACCCUGAUGCCGCAACGCCGCGUUAGUGAAGGAGUAUUUCGGUAUGUAAAGCUCUAACAGUAGGGAAGAAGAAAGACGGUACCUGACUAAGAAGCCCCGGCUAACUACGUACCAGCAGCCGCGGUAAUACGUAGGGGGCAAGCGUUAUCCGGAUUUACUGGGGGUAAAGGGAGCGUAGACGGCUGUGCAAGGCUGAAGUGAAAGCCCGUGGCUCAACCGCGGAACUGCGUGGGAAACUGUAUGGCGUGAGUACUGGAGAGGCAGGCGGAAUUCCUAGUGUAGCGGUGAAAUGCGUAGAUAUUAGGAGGAACACCAGUGGCGAAGGCGGCCUGCUGGACAGAAACUGACGUUGAGGCUCGAAAGCGUGGGGAGCAAACAGGAUUAGAUACCCCGGUAGUC
rnacentral:rRNA from 1 species